AAAAAAAAAAAAAAGAGGAAUAGUUGUUGCUCUCAUUUGGCUUAACAUAAUAAAUGAGGUAAUGGACUAUUAUCGUUGUUUAAUGGUAAAUAAUAGCCUUUACCGUUAAGUAACUGGUGUAACAGCCGUUAUGGUAACAAAUUUUCUUAUGCUUUUAAAUAAAGGGGGUCACAGUAGCGGGAGGGCACAAGCCUAUAAAUAACGGCCGUUACGUAAUGUA
rnacentral:misc_RNA from 1 species